rnacentral:rRNA from 1 species
ACGGAAGGCAGCAGUGGGGAAUAUUGGACAAUGGGGGAAACCCUGAUCCAGCGACGCCGCGUGAGUGAAGAAGUAUUUCGGUAUGUAAAGCUCUAUCAGCAAGGAAGAAAAUGACGGUACUUGACUAAGAAGCUCCGGCUAAAUACGUGCCAGCAGCCGCGGUAAUACGUAUGGAGCAAGCGUUAUCCGGAUUUACUGGGUGUAAAGGGAGCGUAGACGGCUUUGCAAGUCUGAAGUGAAAGCCCGGGGCUCAACCCCGGAACUGCUUUGGAAACUGUAGAGCUAGAGUACAGGAGAGGUAAGUGGAACUCCAUGUGUAGCGGUGAAAUGCGUAGAUAUAUGGAAGAACACCGGUGGCGAAGGCGACUUACUGGACUGUAACUGACACUGAGGUACGAAAGCGUGGGGAGCAAACAGGAUUAGAUACCCUGGUA